UCUGUGCACAAUUUUCUCUCUCUCCCUUUCCCCCCAGCUACGGCACUCACUUCCUAACUUCAAGAGGAGAGCAGCUGCGCAGGAUAUCAAGGUCGUAUGAUAUUGGUGAAGACGUGGCUGAGAUCAAGGCAGGAAUUAAGAGUUGAAAACAGUACUCUGAAGUUGAUGAUUGGACAGCCAGGUGGAUAGAAACCUAAUUCCCACCUCACAGUUGUUUGUGAGUUUCUGAACUUUAUACUAAGGUGUGAUGAGGUGGGCAGGGUUCCUGCCUCUCCGUAUUCAGUGGUGCUGAUUAGACAUUGUUGUUGCUGUUGUUGCUCAAAGCAAGUCCUGUGGAAUUCCAAUUCACACCCCUUCAAGGACUGCACUUUUGGACAACUUUUUGCAUGGUCAUAAAAUGGCUAGAUCAUGAACCGCUUAUGUUAUGCAUUCAUGGAACACACUCCAAACUUCUAAGCACUUCUGAAUUUACAACUUCUGAUUUUACAAUGCAUCUGAAAACUUCCGAUUUUACAAUGCAUAUGACACCAAACAUGACCUAGUUAUUGAGUUCCUUGUGCCUUUGAGAAAAUCAAGGGGAUCACACAUUCAUGGAGCAUGCAACUGUCACACCAACAACACAGAAUAUGAAAAAAAAAGAGAGAUUAUGAAUAUCCUGAGCAAAUUUUAGAUUUGAUUUGUUUGAUAGAAAAGUGUUUCCUGACACCAGAGGUUUGGAUGACUUUCUGUCCUAUCCCUUUCCUGGAGAGACAGCCUCAGUGGUCUUUCAGAUAACCUCAUGUGGGCUUCAAAGGGUAAUUAUGACCAUACCAGGCAGGCAGAAAGUGGAGUUUAUGUAAACAAGAAGGGUCCAACCUAACCCUUGGUCAAUGUGUUUUGGUUACAAAGGGAAGGUCAUUAAGUUAUGAGUGGGGAAAUUAAAAAAGUCAUACCACAAACUCCAUAUGAUUGGUGUGAGGAAUGAUUUGAGCCAGUUGUUUGGAUUUGUUACUUUACUGUCUCAUACCUAAUUUGCAUAAAGUUGGAAACAAUUAUGUACACAGAUAAAUUGGAACAUUGGAAAAAGAUUAUCUGAUUGAGGGCAAUCCAAAUAAAAUGUCUAACUGAUUGAAUGAGGUGGUUAAUGGGUUUAAUAAUUUACUAGGUACAAGAAUAAUUAUCAACAUGCAUUCACACCCAACUGGGUCCCUGGGGGUCUAGCGGUUAGGCCACAGUGCUCUCACUGCUGCAGCCUGGGUUCAAUUCCCAGAAACUGGGGUUACAUGCAACAGUGUGCUCUCAGUGCUGGUCCCAAGCCUGGAUAAAAUUGGGGAGGGUUGCAUCAGGAAGGGCAUCCAGCAUAAAAA